AAUUCUCAACCUUACCAGCUUUGUCUGUUGUAAGGCUUGGAUGUGAGGGCUUGCCGGCUUCCUUCAGUGGAUGGUCAGCUCCCUUUAAAUGCAUUAGUGGGAUCCUUUGUGGACGGUCACUUGGUGUGAUAAUUAUCUACGCCGCUUGAUUGUGAAGCAAAACUUAUGGGAACCCGCUCAUAACCGUCCUCUUGGACAAUACUCUGACA
rnacentral:misc_RNA from 1 species